rnacentral:pre_miRNA from 1 species
AGCAUGAUUGCUGGAUCGUAUGGUAAGGUUAGCUUUGUGAGAAACUGCCAGGGUGUCUUCCAAAGUGGCUGUAUCAUUUUUCAUUUCUACCAGCAAU